UACGUAGGGUGCGAGCGUUAAUCGGAAUUACUGGGCGUAAAGCGUGCGCAGGCGGUUAUGUAAGACAGAUGUGAAAUCCCCGGGCUCAACCUGGGAACUGCAUUUUUGACUGCAAGGCUAGAGUACGGCAGAGGGGGAUGGAAUUCCGCGUGUAGCAGUGAAAUGCGUAGAUAUGCGGAGGAACACCAAUGGCGAAGGCAAUCCCCUGGGCCUGUACUGACGCUCAUGCACGAAAGCGUGGGGAGCAAACAGG
rnacentral:rRNA from 1 species